AUUGAAACACCAGUUCCCAUAUGAUUCACUGAAGUUAAGCAACAUCGAUCCUGGUUAAUACCUAGAUGGAUGACCACUUGGGAAUACUAUGUGCCGUA